AGAACUGUCUUCACCUCCAAGAAAAGGGGUAAACUAAGAUUUCAAACCAAGGGGACAGAUUGGUUGUCUUGAGCGAUGACUUAUCUAAAAGAGAUCACUUCGAUCAUGAACCAUUAUUUGGUUUGUAGUAUAGGUCUCUCUUAUACGAUACCAGCCAUUAAGUCACAUCGUGGAAAGUUCACUUACUUACACGAACGUGUAAGAUAGCAUUCCGUAACCUCCGCGUCUGAGAUAACAUUUUAGCAUGAUGAUCAAGCAAAAGAGAUGCAAAUAAAUUUCCCUCUUUUUUUUCCUAGAAUGUCAUAUGUUUCAUAUUACAAAAAGGGCCUAUUUGGAUUUUCGGAAUAGAAAUUUUGUGUAUUAAAAGGAAAGAAACUCCUAAAUUUCCAAACAAACGCGGAGGGCUUUGUAAUUUCCAUAAGAAGGUAUAAAUGAAGAUGUAUUGGGUAGGAGAGGAUUUAUAUCUGAUGGACCAAUCAAUGUGGAGAGCAGAUACUGAUUCCAUAAGAAGUGAAAUGCUCAAGUAAAGAUGUGUGGGGUGGUAGAUGAUAUUUACAACAGGAGAUAUUUAAUUGGUGAUCAAAAUACGGAGAAAAUAGAAAAUUCCAGCGGAGGACUGACAUCUGCUGAGAAAGCUUAAUAUUCUAUCAAAAAUAUUAAUUUUUAACAAAAUAAUUUCAAUUUUUAAACAAAAGUUUAAAUUUUCUACACACCUUAUGAGGAGCUCAUUGUUUCUCUUGAUCCCUAGGUUUCAGCUUGAUAUAAUGAAAUAAACUUUCUUCGUUAAAUGACUUUAAGCAGGGUAUUAACCACAAAUAAAACAAAAGUUAGAAAUUACGCAAACUCGUAAAGCCACACUGCAGAAAUAAAACAAUCCCCGGUCAGCAGCAAUGACAACCGACGCAUGCGCGAAGCCAUUCUAAAUUUUUCAUAGCUUACUUUACGUGGAUUUAGCAAGAAAAUCUGAGAGAGGUGAUGGAAAUUUUAAAAUAUAACAUUUUCCCUAGUUUUAUGGAAUGAAAAUCUCUCAAACAGUCAAAAUAUCUAAGCAGCUUUUUGGCUUCAAAUUUGUGUUAUCAAUAUGAUUACAGAUUAUCAUCAGAUAUACAAAAAUCGUCAUUAUUUUAACAUGAUUCAUCAAUAUAUUUUCCAAAAUUCACCAAUAUUUAAUAAAUGAAAACAUUAAGACGCGAAUUUUUAUUUUUAUAAAUAAAUAAAACUUUUCUACUGUCAUUACUGCGAUGAAAAGAUAUUGGGAGAGCUUGGUUCAUCAGUGGUAAACCUCCCAAUAUUUUUUCAUCGCAGUAAGGCCAGUAGAAAGUUUUAUUUAUUUGCGAAAAAAAUAUUCACGUCUUAAUGUUUUCAUUUUGUUAUAUAUUGAUUGCGCGUUAUUGCUUUGUAAAAUUUCAUCAAUAUUUUUACAAUAAUUUUAUCACUAUUUUUACAUGCUUCAUUAUUACUUAAAUCAUUAUUUGGUUUAAAACCCAAUAAUUUUAUCAUCCUAACCACGAAUAUUUUAUCCUACAAUAUCUGUCAUACGUGGAAGUCUCUGUCGAAAAAAAAAAGAAUAUAAAGCGUCAGGAAAGAGCUUAUUUGUAACUGGAGGAGGCUGCACCACGACCAUCCAAUAGCACAUUGGCAAGUACUUAGCCAAGAACAUUGUGGCAACACUAUACCAGUCGGAUUACAGUCCCGACUUCUCAAGAAUAAAAAAGAGCUUAAAAGGCCACAAUUUUGGAAUUCUGUAAAAUGUCAACAAGGCUGUGACGACAUGCUGAACGAAGCUCUUUCCGACACCUUCCAGCCAGCCUAUUGGCAGCGAUACUUUUAACUGUGUAUGACGCUUUUCUAUUUGAAUAAAUCUAUUGUAAUUAUGUAGACCAUGGAAAUUUUUGAAAAAUGUAAAAUCAAUUUUACUGUAAAGAACAAACCCUAAACUAUAAUUUAAUUUAGCAACGCCAGUUAAUGCGCAUGCGUAGUUUUCAUUUUAGGCAUAUUUUUGUUGUAAGUAUUUAGCUCGCGGCGGUUUCCGCAAUGCCAUCAUUUGAGCAAAGAGCAAAUAUUAAAUUUUGUGUAAAAUUUAAAAAGUCUUUCACAGAGACAUUAGCAUUAAUAAAUGGAGAUUAUAAAGACGAAAAAUUGUCACGAACGCAAGUUUAUUUCUGGUAUAAAUGUUUUAAAGAUGGCCGUAAGAGCAUCGCAGAUGAUUCAAGGUCAGGUCGGCCAUUGACGUCAACAACGGAUUGCGAUAUUGUGCAGGUACGUGAUUUAAUUGUUGCUAAUAGAAAUAUUACUAUUGAUAAUAUAUCAGAAAUACUUGGAAUUUCGUAUGGUAGUUGCCAAAAAAAUAUUGGUGAACAUUUAAACACGAAAAAACUUUGUGGUUAUUUUGUCCCACGAAAUUUAACAGAUCAACAAAGAAAAACCGUAUUAUCAAUUUGCAAAAAUUUAAUUGAAACUGCAAAUAAUGAUUCAGAUUUUUUAAAACAAUAAUAACUGGUGUGAUGAAACAUGGUGCUUUAUUUUUGAUCCACAAACUAAAAAACAAUCACUCGAAUGGCACACACCAAGUUCUCCUAGGAAGAAGAAAGUUCGUCUUGACAAGUCCAAAAGAAAAGUAAUGCUUGUAGUGUUUUAGAUUAUCAAGGACAUGUCUAUUAUGAAUUUAUUAAAGAAGGGGUUACUAUUAAUAACAGGCAUACAAAUAAAUACUUGUACGUCUUCGUGAUGCGAUAAGAAGAAAAAGAAACCAACUCUUUAAAUCAAAACAGUGGAAAUUGCUACAUGAUAAUGCCCCUGCUCAUAGAGCCAUUAUUAUUCAAGACUAUUUAGCCAAACACUCUGUAUCUGUUGCCGCAUCCUCCUUACUCUCCUGAUAUCGCCUCAUGUGAUUUCAUCUUCUUUCCUAAACUUAAAAUGACGUUAAAAGGGAGGCGCUUUUCAUCGUCAUCAGAAGUAAUUGAAAAUGCGACGGUGGAGCUAAACAAGCUUAGAAAAUUUGACUUUGAACUAGCAUUUCAACAGAUUUUUUCACGCUGGAAAAAAUGUGUAGAUAACCAAGGAUCCUAUUUUGAAAAUUUUGAUGUCUAAAUUACUAUACUAUGAAUAAAUAAUUAAUUUUAAAAAAAUUUCGGGAACUUUUUGAUCCUACCUUGUAUAGCCCAAGACAUUUCCUGGUUUUGUAAUUUCCUGUUUUGAUCAGAAUUGACCGCCAAUAUAAAGUAAUAUUUAACGCCGUUUGACUUUUUUCUAAGUCUAAGGGAUUUAUGCCAAAACACGCCUCUCGAAGGAGGAAACCGAACGUUCUAUUUAUAAAUUUAGACACAUGUAUAGAAACGGUCAUGGACAUCAACAAAAGAGUACUAUGUGUCAGCAAAGCCACCCAAUAUAUACUAUUCCAUACAUAACCCGAAGUACUGCAUACUUAAUGAAUCCAUAAGUAAUUAAUAAUUUUCAAUUAUAAACCGAUAUUUUAUUCAAAAUUACUUCUUGCUUGAAUUUUGGGACAUCCUAUAUAUACCAUUGUUAUUAUUUGUAUAGAGAUACUUUUUAAAAUCUUUUAUUGGUUUGUAAAUUGAUUAGAUGUCAAUGGAAUGUUUGAGAUAUGUCAACAGGCUGGUGUGUUUUUGUCAAAGACAACACGAGAUCAAGAAUGAAGGCGAUCGUCUGAUGUCAAUUCUGAGUCUAAUCUCCCCUAGAACCCUUUGAUUAUGCUAAUUUUAAAGUGUUUUGGGGGGAUAGGAGUCAGUUUCGAACCUUCUACGACGGCAGAAGUUUCUGAAAUACUGGUGAGUACUUGCCAAUCAUGUGGCGAGUUUCCUUUGUCAGUUCUAAUUGUAUGAAUACAUAGUUUAAACAUAGUGCCCCCAUCUAAAUGCUCAACAUAGUUUUAUAAUAAUUUCUAUCUAAAUACUUUUAUUUUUAACAUAAAUACAUUGCAUGAAUUAUAUAUAUAUAUACAUUGAUGAAUAUCAGAAUAUAGUUAUUUUUUUAUUCUAUAUGAGUAUUAUAAAUUAUUUUAUAUAUUUAUAUGGCAAUAUACACAGUAUAGUAUAUAUUCUCACAAUUAUUUAUAGUUCUAGCUCAUACUACCGAUUUAUUUUUAAAGCCACCCGCUCAUUACGAUAAAAACAUUGCCCCAUUUUCUCCUUUUGAUAUAUACAAAUUCUAUUCUAUUCCAGGUCAUAGUGGCUACCUAGAAGUUUGAUAUUUUGUAUAAUUUCGUUGUUAGCCUGGUUCAAAUCACAUUAAUAGGUACCGCUCAGCAAGAGCAACCUAGUUCAUGAUAAUUGAAACAGUGAAUAAUAUGUGAAGGUUAUUCACAUAUUAAACACAAUUUAAACGCGGGAUUCAAUCCCGGUCCAUGACUGUCGGGAAUCGAGCGUGUUACCCUCUCAUCCACCGACUUUUUUGUUGUUAGCUUGAUUGAGUGAGUUCAUAAUAUUUUUUUUUACUUCUAUGUAGUCUGUAAUUAUAUUAAAAAUGUAUUCUAAAAAUUUUAAAAUAAAUAUAGAAAUUUGUCCGAUGCUGACAACCCAGAGGUCUUGAAUUUUGUAGACACGCAUUGAUAACAGAAUCGAUCGAAUUUUUCUUAAUUCAUAAUUAUAUAUGGUCUGUAUAUAGUAUAUUGAACCUUUAUCACCAAAAUUGAAAGCAAAUAUAGAAAUUAUUCCAGUCCCGACCACAUUUUUAUCAAACUCCAGCCUCUUAUUACACCAAAGAAACGGCUGUGCCUAUUUUUGUCCGUUUUAAAAGGAAAUUCUCUUCUCUAGUGUAUUCCCGACCAUCAUAGAAUUCGGAAAUUCUAUACAUUUUCACAAUGUAAGUAGGAUCGAACUAGUCUAUUAAAUACCUGACUUCUAUGUGGUCAGGGAGUGUAGUAAAAAUUGAUCACAAAAUUCGAAAUAUAUAAAUUAAAAUUAGUUCAUUUCAGACCACCCAGAAAUCUGAAAUUUUAUCAACAUGCAGGUUUGAACAAGUGUACCAAAUUUCAGACUUCUAAGUCUUCUGUAAGUAUACAAAAAUUGUUUAUAAUAUUUGUAGUCAGACUGACAUGGCAAAAGGUCAAAUAAAAGCUUUUAAUGACACUAUUUACAGUGCGAAUUUUCAAAUAAAACACAAUUAGGUACGUUGAGGAAUAUAGCGCAAUUCAUAGGUCAACAUGAAUUACUAAUAAUGAGGCGUUUUUUGAGUUUAAUUGAAACACACUUUAUUUGUGAAAUGUGAUAUUUAAAAAGACUGAACCUCUUUCUUUUAAAACAUAUUCACAAAUUAAAAACAUGACGAAGAUAUGCGUUUUUGUAUUUCUGAUAGAAUGGACUGUUGAGUUUUCUGGGUUCGGGUUUAAAAUUAUACAUAGCUCCAGGGUAUUUCUAUCUUUUUAUUUUAAUAUUAUUUUUGUCUAUUAUUGAAGACAAACAUUCAAUGAAUAAUAUUUCUUGUUUAUCAAGGAUAUUAUGGUAUAUUUUUUCCACUGUUAUUGCAAUAUGUUACAUGAUUUUUUAUAAUUGAUAACUUAGCUAGUAAGGAUAACGGCCUAUUAUUUUGUAGUCUGGAUUUAUGACGCUUCACUCGUUGUUCAAGUGACUUCCCAGUUUGACCUAUGUAUAUAGAUGGUAUAGAUGGUCAGGACCUACAAGGGAUUUUAUAAACUAUAUUGGCUUCUGUUUUUGGGAUGGCGAUAUAUAUAUAGGUUUGGUUAUAGGAUGGUGUAGUUUGGCCUUAGUUGUCUGCUGUUUCAGUGGCGUGUUAAUAUGCCGUGAUGACCCUCGCGAUUCUUUCCACACCACUGCUGUAGGGGAGUAGGCAGAAGCUGUUUUAAAAAGCAGGCAGAUGGUUAAUUGUAGCAUUUGGAUGCAGGAAUGUACUUAUUAAAUUUGUUUGGAUAGCCCUUUCUAAUUUGAGUUUUAAGUAGCCUAUAUUGUUCGCUUUUAUGGUCCAGUAUUCUAUUGAAUUAAGUAUGGACUCGUUUUGUGACCGUUCUAUCAUAAAGAUAAAGCCUUUUCUAAAGAAAUCACAGUUGAAAAUAAAUAGAACAGCUCCCUGCCAUUCCUCGAUGUCAAACUAAGACGCACUGAUGACCAAAUCUACUCUAGUAUCUACGAGAAGCCUUCAAAUCAGGUUUCUAAAUUUUGAAUCAUUCUGUUCCAUCAGUCAAAAUCAACCGUAGUCAAAUGAUGGAGCCAAAAGCUAUCCAGUCUUAAAUCCAAUAUGGUUUCUAAUACGUUUUCAAUCAAGGGAUAUUAAUCCUUGCCACACGCAGUGUGUCAUCGAAAUCUAUCUAACUCUUUGCCCCUACCUUUAUUGAACACACUCCACCCUGUACCUACUUCUCUAGAGUUGUUUACUUGAAUAUUUGAUCAAAGUGAUGCACAUACUAUUGAUUUGUUAACCUAGAUGAACAAUUUGAAAACAACCAUUUUAGCCUUAAUUACGAUUUAGACCUUAUUUUUAAAACGUGAUAUUUAUAAAGGCUGAAUCUCUUUCUUUUUCAAACAGAUUCACAACCCAAACUCACGACGAAGAUGUGCGUUUUCGUAGUACUGCAGGGUGGACUGUUGAGGUUUUCUUUGGUUAGCAUAUUCUAGAAUUAUAUUUGAUACCUUGAGAUUAAAAAUCUAAGUCUUAAAUGAGGUAAGUGUGCUAAAUCGAGAACGGGGAGUAUACUUUUACCAACUAUUAAUACAGUUCAAACCUUUCUACACGAAGAAUAAAUUUUAAAUAUAUGUAAUUAUAAUAAUAUUUUUUUGGCAAUAUAUUAUUUUCUUAUUAUAUAUUUAAUCAAAAAAUAUCUCUACAAACCUUACUACAAUGAUAGAAAUUAUUAGCUGAGAGAGCUUUGCUCAUCAAUAGCAAGCCCUUUCUCAUCUAAUAAUUUUUAUCAUUGCAGUAAGGUUUGUAGAGAUAAUAGUUGAUAAUAUAUAUCAUACUAGCGGAUGUACCCGGCUUCGCCCGGGUUUUACCCGAGUAAAGGUUUGUCUAACGAAUCUCUCGAUAAAGUGAACAUUUGUUCCCGGUCCCUUGAAAAAUACUCGAUAAGUUGAAUAAAAUCAAUAUUAAGUGGUUCCCUCGGUAAUUGGAAGUUAAAGGAAUAGUAUCUUGCCUUGGAAUUGUAUCAUUAUUCUUGUCUCAAAUAAAUUGCCGUGUCAUCCUGAAUUUUGUCUUUCCUAAUUAUCUACAUUACAAAAUCAUCGUAUCAUCAUGAUAAUAUUUAGAACAGAUUGUUGAAUUAUAAAACAGAUAAAUUAGAAUAUUUAUCUUGAUUAUUUUUAGGCGAAAAGUUAUUUCAAAAAUUUUAUUUGCUAGAAACCUUCCCAGUACUAUACUAAAUAACUUCCCAAAGUUUCAUGGCGUUCCAAUGAGUGGUUUGGUCAGGCAUAAAGGACACACACACAUACAUUCAUUUAUAUAUAUAUAGAUAAGACUCAUAUUGUCGAAAAUGAUAAUUAUAAUUUUAUCAAUAGAUGGUAAUACUAAUAUAAAGCAAUAACGCGCCAUCUAUAUAUAACAAAUGAAAACAUUAAGACGCAAAUGUUUCUUUCCACAAAUAAAUCAACCUUCUACUGUCCCUACUGCGUUUUUCAUCGCAGUAAGGACAGUAGAAGUUUAAUUUAUUUGUGGAAAAAAACAUUCGCGUCUUAAUGUUUUUAUUUGUUAGAUGGCAAUAUAUGGAAUUUACAGAAGAACAACUAAGUUCAACCUGAUUAUUCGCCAUGUUUGUCUGCAUAAACAAAUUGUGUUUUUCUUCUGUUUUACUUUCAUAUGUUCAGAUUGGUUGAGACAGAGUCACGUGUUCGCCCUGCCGUUCCUGAAGCAGCCGAUGUAGUUGAACUCCGCGCCUGGAGCUAAAUCUCACCCAUUUGCUUUGUUGGAAGAUUGUCCCAAAGUAUUUGGUUGGGAUUAGAUCCAGGUGUGGGCACGUACUUCAUCGCCUGCCUGGGGUAAGUACUACAGUACUUGUGACAUUCUUGUCUUACGUAACUGUCUCAUUCCGAUAUAUACAUACCUUCUUUUGCUAUCUAUUUAAUAAUUGCUAUGUAUUAAUUUAUGCCUAACUGGCCAUGCCCUUAUUGUUUGAGGAAGAGCAUUGCUCGAUGCAAAUACUUAAAUGUAAUUCUAAUGUGUCCUAAAAGCUUAUGUCCAUAGUUUGCUUAAAUACUAUUUAUAAGAUUCCACUCUUCAGUGUAACAUAUAAAAGCAGAAUGAUAUAAUACAGUAUUAGGGCUCUAAAGAAGCGUUCUGGUAGUUUAAAAAAAAAAAAAAAUUGGCGAAACCGCUGGGAGGACGCACCACGGAUGAGUCAAGCCCUCCCAAUAUUUUUUCAUCGCAAUAAGGACAGUAGAGUUUGAUUUAUUUGUGAAAAGAAACAUUCGCAUUUUGGUGUUUUCAUUUGUAUUAUAAAGAAGGCGCGUUAUUUCUAUGUAUUAAUAUAUACCUUCAUUUAAAUCUGUUUGUGUGGUCGAUGCAUAAUUAUUGCCCCUUAUGUUCAAUAAACUACAAUAAAAUGGCAAAUGAACUUGACUUUUUUUAUUGUUAGUUCGCUAAAAGGUUCUUUGAGAUAGUGAAAUGACCUUAAUGCGGUAUUCCAACUUUUCUCGAACUGGUAAAGUAUAACAUGGCUAAUAGGAUCGUGAUUUUUGGUACUUAUUUUUAUUUUCUGAAAAAAUAUAAUUUUUUUUUAAUUACAAUUUUUUUUGAAAACGCCAAUUAUUAAAGAAAAAAGUCUCGGAGGAGGGGUGAAGGAGGAAAGAAGCAAUAAUUAUGCACUGACUUCUCUCUAACUCUAAUAUAUAUAUAACAAACAUUGUUAUUAAGCCCGGCUAGCUCAGUCGGUAGAGCAUGAGACUCUUAAUCUCAGGUUCGAGCCCCACGUUGGGCGUUUUUUUUUUUUUGUUCUAAUUAAACGAUAAUAAAGAGGAUAAAUUGAUAGUGAUUUCGCAAUUUCAUUAUAACAUGUACUAAUUAUUUUUGGCAAUAUUUUUCAUAUAAAUUAUAUAAUAUAUUCGCUAAUCUAUAUAAUUGUAUAUAUCACACAGAGUCUGAUAGACUACACUGAUGAUAAUAUAGAAUGUACAGUAACAUAACCAACAGUGAGCUCCUAGAACCAUUGAUUUCCAAAGAAAACUAAAUCUUCAACAGGUGGAUAGGUUCAAUCCCCGGGGUUUCAGUAGGAUAACUUUUUUAUUAUCCCUAUAGAGUUCACCUGGCGAUGAUCCCCUGGCCACCCAUCCCCAGGCCCCUCCAACUGUGCUUUGUAUAUAUUCCGCUUUAUACGUCCAUCGGGGCUCAAAAAUCAUUCAUUUUGGUUAGCAGCCCCAUAAAAUAAAGAUAUUUUCUCUCUCUUAUCCCUAUAGACCAUGAUAUUCAUGAUGGGUAGUAAUUAACGACUGAUUUUACUGAACGUGCACCACAUGUCUACACAUUUGGAAAAGUACAAUAUAGCUACAUCAACAAAUUAUUUAUUUAAUUCCCGAUCUUUCAUCAUUCCACUGAGGAAAGUGACUCAAACUUCGGCAAUUACUGGUUAAUGUAGCCAUUUUUUCCAAAAAAAUAUAAGCUUCCAAACAACAAAUUAUCUUCAAUUACUAAACAUAUGGAAACCAGUUCAACUUUUUUCACUUACAAACUUGCCAUAACUCCCAUUUGGUUACUUGCACAUAGUGGUGGGCUUGAAAUUUGGCAAGAAUCGGGGACCUUUAGAGCAAUUUUUUCUUCAAAAAAUAAUGUCCAACGCGGGGUUCGAUCACGAGUCAUAGCUGUUGACAGUUUCUACGACUCCACCACCACCCACAAGUAUGAUAACUCCCCCAAACCAAUAUUGUCUCGCGAUACUUUAUUGCCGCAUUGACCCUGAUUAUGAGAGAGAAAACUGAUAAAUCAUAGGUAUAUCCACCAUUAUAUCUUUUAUCUCACACAUGGUGAAAUUAUUUUCACUUCACAACAUGCAAAUAUCCUAGAUGUUAUUAGUGAUUAUAUUAAACUAAGGUAGGUACACUCAUGGAUAAAACUUAAGAAAAGUUGUACCUUUUAACAUGUAUAUCGGGAUUCAGAUAAUAACUCUGACAGAACUCUGACUGACCUUUAUUGAAGACACAUGAGAUAACCAAGUGUGAACAAAAUUGCCUUUGUCUCCUUAAAAAAACAGAUGAUGGACGAAUUCAAAGACUUUCCACUUAAGUGUUGUCUAUAAAUGUAAUUAUUAUUCUCUUAUAAAUUGUUUAUAGAUAAGCAGUCUCUUUAGUAGCUCGUUUUGUAAUGAGAGUUAAAACCCUUUGCUCUAAAUCUCCCUAUUACAUGGCCAUAAUAAAAGCAACGUAUCGCUAUUUAUAUCGUUGUAAUUAUGAAGUCGAUAAAAGUAUGGGUGGACGAGUUGUAUAAACUGUUGUUUUUCGACAGCAACGACCCGGGGUCGAAUUCCACAUUGGACGCUUUUUUUUUUCUUUUUCUUUUUUAAAUAUACGAGGGUUGUCCGUUAAAUAAGUUCCACAGAGGUUUUUCAUACAGAAAAACAGGUUUAUUUGCCCUGAACUAUGCAUUUUCGAAAAUAUCAGACUUUUUUUAAUUUUUCUACAUAUUCCCCGUUUCGUUCGACGCAUUUUUGCAUUCGGGACACCCACUUAUGGAACCCAGAGUCAAAGACCCUGCCGCCUGGCCGCGUAGAAAGCCUAAAACCGCUUCUUCCAAACUCGUCAUCGUCCUGGAAUUGGGUUCCACCCAGGUUUUUCUUCAACUCGGGGAAGAAAUGGAAGUCACUAGGAUCUACGUCAGGGCUGUAAGGUGGGUGUGACACCAAUCCCCAUCCAAAUUCUUCGAUGAGGGCAGUGGCUUGAUGGGCGGUGUGCGGCCGAGCGUUGUCGUGGUGAAAACGCACCCCUUUGGUUAACAUCCCUCUCCUCUUGUUCUGAAUCACGCGUCGAAGUUGUUUCAAGAUCUCACAGUACCGGUCGGAAUUGAUUGUUGUACCCCGACGCAUAAAGUCACACAACAAUAGACCCUUUCGGCCCCAAAAGACGGUAGCGAUAAGUUUCCUGGCAGAAAGUGUUUGUUUAAACUUUAGAGGUUUCGGCGAAGAAGUGUGCUUCCACUGCUUGGAUUGUUCCUUUGUCUUCGGUGUGGUGUAGUGUACUCAGGUAACAUCACCAGUAACGAUCGAAUCCAAGAAUUCCUCUCCGUCAGUUUUAUGGCAAUCGAGAAAUUUCUGGGCCGCAUCAACCCACUGCCGUUUAUGGUCUUCAGUCAGCAUUUUCGGAACCCAUAUUGCGCAGACCUUUGAAUACCCUAAAUGUUCACGCAAAUUCUUGUCGAUGGUGGUUUUACUGACAUCAGGAACCAAAUCGCAGAGCUUCCGCACAGUAACCCGUCGAUCUUCAAGCAUUGUCGCUUCGACUUUGGCAAUGGUUUCGUCCGAAACCGAUGGCCGUCCAGCACGGGGUUCAUCGUGGACGUCUGUUCGGUCGUUUUUAAAUUCUCUGACCCAUCUGCGUACCAUCCCGGAACUCAUACACCCUUCUCCAUACACUUGACAGAGUUCAGUAUGAAUGUCCUUCGCCGAAUUAUUCUUUGCGGCCAAAAAGCGAAUUACUGACCGUAAUUCACAGCUGGCGGGAGACACGAGGGGAAGCUCCAUCACUAACGGCUGCUCAGCCAAAACUAAGCUUACCAGCGACGUGUCCUUGGUGUGAAAUUGGAGUGGGGAGAACAAGCUACGAGCCCGUGCAGUCGGCUCGAGCCUAAAAGCGAUCCUCAUGACAGUGGUGCCCCGUGGAACUUAUUUAACGGACAACCCUCGUAUAUAUAUAUAUUUCAAUGGCUCCCUAUUCUUUUAAAAAGUGUUUUCAAGGAACCCAACGGGGUUUUUGCACAUUUGUUAGUGUAAAAGUCGAAUUGCAUUCCCCGUGUGUAAACAUGCGAUACGCUUACAAUAAAGACAGUCGCCAACUUCUACCCACCAUGAUUAUCAUGGCUUGUACCACAUGUACUAAAUUUAAUUAAAAAUUGUUUUAAAAAUAUAAAAGUUGACAGAUUCUAGCGAUUCAAUCCUUAUUUAUUAAAACUGUUGAUGAUGAUGAUGAUUGGACAGGAUUCAUUACUAAUUAGCCAGCAGGACCUUUCGAAAAAUAUAUAUUUAUUUAGAACUACACAGUAAGGAUUAGUAUAAAUCCAGUUUGUGUAGAUGAGAAACAAACUCAGACAUUCCAGCCAUACUUGGUUCUAAAUCUCAACCAUUUGCUUUGAAGGUAAAGUAUCAAAGUAUUUGUUUGGGGUUGGAUCCAGGUGUGGACAGCCAGAGUGGACUACGUCAGCAAAAUCAGAAAAAUCUACCUGGCA
rnacentral:piRNA from 1 species